rnacentral:rRNA from 1 species
UACGAAGGGGGCGAGCGUUGUUCGGAUUUACUGGGCGUAAAGGGCGCGCAGGCGGCUUUGUUUGUCAGGCGUGAAAGCCCCGGGCUUAACCUGGGAACUGCGUUUGAUACGGCAGGGCUAGAGUUCGGGAGAGGAGAGUGGAAUUCCCAGUGUAGAGGUGAAAUUCGUAGAUAUUGGGAAGAACACCGGUGGCGAAGGCGGCUCUCUGGACCGAUACUGACGCUGAGACGCGAAAGCGUGGGGAGCAAACAGG